rnacentral:rRNA from 1 species
GGGUUAAUAAGUUGGUCGUGCCAAUGGUAUGUACUGGCUUUAUUGAUUCCUACCUCUUGAAGAACUGUGAUGCCAUUAAUUUGGUGUUGCAGGGAAUCAGGACUGUUACCUUGAAAAAAUUAGAGUGUUUAAAGCAGGCUUACGCUUAAAUACAUUAGCAUGGAAUAAUGAAAUAGGACGUUUGAAUCUAUUUUGUUGGUCUUUAGGAUCGACGUA